AGUUAAAGUAGGAAAGGGCGUAUGGUGGAUGCCUUGGCAUGUGAUGGCGAUGAAGGACGCGAAAAGCUGCGAAAAGCUACGGGGAGCUGCAAUAAAGCUUCGAUCCGUAGGUCUCCGAAUGGGGCAACCCUUUAAAUCCGCAAGGAUGGCCAACCCGCUGAACUGAAACAUCUAAGUAAGCGGAGGAAAAGAAAACAACAGUGAUUCCGUAAGUAGUGGCGAGCGAACGCGGAACAGCCCAAACCAAGUCGGGUCACCGAUUUGGGGUAGUAGGACUCANGAGCGAGUUUAAUNAGGAAGUCGAAACUGUCUGGAAAGCAGUUCCACAGAAGGUGAAAGACCUGUAGGCGAAUCUUAGUUAAACCGAUUUGAGUAUCCUGAGUAGCGCGGGACCGGUGAAAUCCUGCGUGAAUCUGCCGGCACCAUCCGGUAAGGCUAAAUACAAGCACAUGACCGAUAGUGUACUAGUACCGUGAGGGAAAGGUGAAAAGAACGCCGAGACGGCGAGUGAAAUAGUCCCUGAAACCAUACGCUUACAAGCGGUCGGAGCCUCUUCGGAGGUGACGGCGUGCCUUUUGCAUAAUGAGCCUACGAGUUGCACCUACUGUGCUGGUUAAGCCCCUAAGGGGCGGAGCCGAAGCGAAAGCGAGUCUGAAUAGGGCGAAUAUAGUACAGUGGGGCAGACGCGAAACCGAGUGAUCUAUCCAUGGCCAGGGUGAAGUUUCGGUAACACGAGAUGGAGGCCCGAACCCGUUGACGUUGAAAAGUCUUGGGAUGAGCUGUGGAUAGGGGUGAAAGGCCAAUCAAACUCGGAGAUAGCUCGUUCUCCCCGAAAUAUAUUUAGGUAUAGCGUGCACUUAGAACCAGUCGGAGGUAGAGCACUGAUUAGGCUAGGGCCCUUCACCGGGUACCAAACCUUGACAAACUCCGAAUUCCGACUGGGAAUCGUGCGCAGUCAGCGGCAGGGUGAUAACGUCCUGUUGCGAGAGGGAAACAACCCAGACUAUCGAAUAAGGUCCCUAAAUACUAGCUAAGUUGAUAAAAGAAAGUUGGAUUACCUAGACAACCAGGAGGUUGGCUUAGAAGCAGCCAUUCCUUAAAAGAGUGCGUAAUAGCUCACUGGUCGAGUGAUCCGGCGUCGAUAAUUUGCGGGCAUAAGCUAGUUACCGAAUUCAUAGACUAGAAAUAGUGGUAGGGGAGCAUUGUAGCGGUGUUGAAGCCAAAAUGUGAGUUUUGGUGGAACUUCUACAAGAGACCAUGUAGGCAUGAGUAACGACAAGACUAGUGAAAAUCUAGUCCAUCGAAAACCCAAGGGUUCCUGAUCAACGUUCAUCGGAUCAGGGUUAGUCGAGACCUAAGCCGUAGCCGAAUGGUGAAGGCGAUGGACAACCGGUUAAAUAUUCCGGUACCGUUUAUAGCGCUAAGCUAAGGCGUGACGCAGAAGUGAAACUCCCGCCUCGGGACGAAUCGAGGUUAAAGGGGCUAGGCUGGAGGAUAGGCAAAUCCGUUCUCUAAGGCUGAACCCCGACAGUACCCGGAAGCUUCGGCAGAAGGGAUAGUGGAGGUAACCAUGCUGCCAAGAAAAGCGUCGUAGUUUGCUAUAAGUGCUCGUACCCCAAACCGACACAGGUGGGUGAGGAGAGAAUCCUAAGAUGCUCGAGAGAAUCAUGGCUAAGGAACUAGGCAAAUUCAAUCCGUAACUUCGGGAGAAGGAUUCCCUACAUUGUAGGGCGCAGUGAAAAGGUUCAAGCGACUGUUUACCAAAAACACAUGUCUCUGCUAAGUUGCAAAACGACGUAUAGGGACUGACACCUGCCCGGUGCUGGAAGGUUAAAGAAGGGGGUCAACCAAUAGGUGAAGCUCUUGACUGAAGCCCCAGUAAACGGCGGCCGUAACUAUAACGGUCCUAAGGUAGCGAAAUUCCUUGUCGGGUAAGUUCCGACCUGCACGAAUGGUGUAACGACUUGAACACUGUCUCGGCCAUGAGCUCGGUGAAAUUGUGGUAUCGGUGAUGACGCCGAUUACCCGCAGCGGGACGAAAAGACCCCGUGAACCUUUAC
rnacentral:rRNA from 1 species